GAAUAUGAUGAAUCAUAAUUGUCGCCCCAGGCUUAAUUUGCAGCUAAAAAUAGAUGUGUGGUGAUUGACACUUCAAAUUCAAAUUCUGAUUC